rnacentral:rRNA from 1 species
UUACUAGAGUAGCACUCGCAUAUCAAUAAGCGGAGGAAAAGAAACUAACAAGGAUUCCCCUAGUAACGGCGAGUGAAGCGGGAAGAGCUCAAAUUUGAAAUCUUAAAGGGUUUCCCUUUACGAAUUGUAGUUUAAAGAAGUGUAUUUCUGUUGAGGUUUUGGUAAAAGUUCUUUGGAAUAGGACAUCAUAGAGGGUGAGAAUCCCGUAUUUGACCUUUACUUUCAACUUUGUGAUACACUUUCAAAGAGUCGGAUUGUUUGGGAAUGCAGUCCAAAAUGGGUGGUAAAUUUCAUCUAAAGCUAAAUAUUGGCGAGAGACCGAUAGCGAACAAGUACCGUGAGGGAAAGAUGAAAAGAACUUUGAAAAGAGAGUUAAACAGUACGUGAAAUUGUCAAAAGGGAAGCGUUUGACACCAGUGUUGUUUUUCUGAAAAUCAAUUAAAGAACUGUUUAUGCUAAGCUGUUUAGACUUUAUCAGCUAUCUGUUUAGUUUUGAGCUUUUCUUUAAUGCACUUUUCAGUUAACAAGUCAACAUCAAUUUCUUUUGCUGUAAAAAAGCUUGAGGAAGGUGGCUUGAGAUUCGUCUUAAGUGUUUAUAGCCUCUUGCCUAUGCAGUCGGAGAGAUUGAGGUCUGCAGCGUAGAUCCUUCGGGGCUAAAUGCAUUUGUGCUAAGUUAUAGCAUUUUAUAGACAACUUGUUGACUAUGAUUUGUCUUGUAGCUUACUCGCUUAUGUUAUUUUACCUACGCUUAGGAUGUUGAGUCAUCACACAUCUCU